UUGUUGGUAAGGUAAAAGCUUACCAAGGCUUCGAUCAGUAGCUGGUCUGAGAGGACGGCCAGCCACACUGGGACUGAGACACGGCCCAGACUCCUACGGGAGGCAGCAGUGGGGAAUUUUGGACAAUGGGGGCAACCCUGAUCCAGCCAUGCCGCGUGAGUGAAGAAGGCCUUCGGGUUGUAAAGCUCUUUCAGCCGGAACGAAACGGUUACGGUUAAUACCCGUGACUACUGACGGUACCGGAAGAAGAAGCACCGGCUAACUACGUGCCAGCAGCCGCGGUAAUACGUAGGGUGCGAGCGUUAAUCGGAAUUACUGGGCGUAAAGCGUGCGCAGGUGGUUUUGUAAGUCAGAUGUGAAAGCCCCGGGCUCAACCUGGGAACUGCGUUUGAAACUACAAGACUAGAGUGUGGCAGAGGGGGGUGGAAUUCCGCGUGUAGCAGUGAAAUGCGUAGAGAUGUGGAGGAACACCGAUGGCGAAGGCAGCCCCCUGGGCCAACACUGACGCUCAGGCACGAAAGCAUGGGGAGCAAACAGGAUUAGAUACCCUGGUAGUCCAUGCCCUAAACGAUGUCAACUAGUUGUCGGGCCUUUACGGGCUUGGUAACGUAGCUAACGCGUGAAGUUGACCGCCUGGGGAGUACGAUCGCAAGAUUAAAACUCAAAUGAAUUGACGGGGACCCGCACAAGCGGUGGAUUAUGUGGAUUAAUUCGAUGCAACGCGAAAAACCUUACCUACCCUUGACAUGUAUCGAAGCCCGCAGAAAAGCGGGGGUGCCCGAAAGGGAACGAUAACACAGGUGCUGCAUGGCUGUCGUCAGCUCGUGUCGUGAAAUGUUGGGUUAAGUCCCGCAACGAGCGCAACCCUUGUCAUUAAUUGCCAUCAUUUAGUUGGGCACUUUAAUGAGACUGCCGG
rnacentral:rRNA from 1 species